rnacentral:tRNA from 1 species
GGGGAUUUAGCUCAGCGGCAUAAGCGCCUGCCUUGCAAGCAGGCAGUCUAUCCCCA